rnacentral:lncRNA from 1 species
CGAGAGUUUCUGGAUCUCCUCAUCCCCAUAUCCUGGGACAAUUGCCUGCUGAUCAUGGAUGAGUAAAUAUGUGAGUCGAGCCAGGCCGCUCGAUCCUAUCUCCAUCAUAUGCUGUGCUCCUCCUGACCUAAGACCUACUCGUGGUAUCAUCCUGUGGCAAUAAAAAUAUCACCUUGCGAUGUCGCUUCUCGUUCUCCCGAGUCUCAUGUCUCAUGCUUGAUCCACCUCCACCUGGAGCUCCAUCUCGCUCUGAGCUCCACCUGGCUCCUGAAGCUUCACCUCGCAC